UGGGUCGGCUGGACGGUCGCGUCACGGGUUCGCCCGUGCCGAGGAACGUCCGGGCUCCACAGGGCAGGACGGUGGGUAACGCCCACCCGGAGCAAUCCGCGAGACAGUGCCACAGAGAGCAGACCGCCCGCGCUUCACCGCGCGGGUAAGGGUGAAAGGGUGGUGUAAGAGACCACCGGGGUCGUGGUGACACGACCCGCGAGGUAAACCUCGUCCGGAGCAAGGCCAGACAGGGGAUGACGACGCGGCUCGCCGAGUCCCCGGGUAGGCCGCUGGAGCGGCACGGCAACGUGUCGCCGAGAGAGAUGACCGUCCACGGGGCUCACGCCCCCGGACAGAACCCGGCGUACAGGCCGGCCCAUUCG
rnacentral:RNase_P_RNA from 1 species